rnacentral:rRNA from 1 species
GACGAACGCUGGCGGCGUGCUUAACACAUGCAAGUCGAACGAUGAAGGAGAGCUUGCUCUCCGGAUUAGUGGCGAACGGGUGAGUAACACGUGACUAACCUGCCCCUUUCUCCGGGAUAACGCUCCGAAAGGAGUGCUAAUACCGGAUACGAACUCUGAACACAUGUUCGGAGUUGGAAAGUUUUUCGGAAAGGGAUGGAGUCGCGGCCUAUCAGCUUGUUGGUGAGGUAACGGCUCACCAAGGCGACGACGGGUAGCCGGCCUGAGAGGGCGACCGGCCACACUGGGACUGAGACACGGCCCAGACUCCUACGGGAAGCAGCAGUGGGGAAUAUUGCACAAUGGGCGAAAGCCUGAUGCAGCGACGCCGCGUGAGGGAUGACGGCCUUCGGGUUGUAAACCUCUUUUAGCAGGGAAGAAGCGAAAGUGACGGUACCUGCAGAAAAAGCACCGGCUAACUACGUGCCAGCAGCCGCGGUAA